ACGAACGGCCCUCUGGGCCUUCGAACCCCCAAAACCGUGGAAGCGAGCCGUGCUUCGGCGCCCCGUGGCGCCGUAUUUAUGCGAUCGACCCGUCUGUGUCUGAAUCGAACCUAGAAUUA
rnacentral:misc_RNA from 1 species